CAUAAAGUGGCUGCUGAGAAACUGUGAGCGUCUACACCGGCGGCUGACCUUGUUCUCCCACAGGUGACCAAAGACGCAAAGUGGUGUUUGGAGACACAACAUUUUCUUUUCUUCUGAGGUUCGAAAUGCGACUCGUGGCCUUGGAGGAACUUCGCAGGAAUGAGUGCUUUCUGAGGCUGUCACAUCUGCAAGCUGUUUAAGCAAGGGGAUUUGGCAACUUCUCGUGCCUCAUCGCCUGGCACGGUGUAUCAUAAACACGUUUGCACAUACCUCAGUGACAAAAUGUGACACAGCUCCGUCUAUUGGUGGUUUUUCCCUUUGUAGGUGUUAGGUAAAGAAGUGGCUGUUGCUUUGCAAGAAAAUAAGAAACUGGAUAAGUUAUUCCUCCAAAGACGAGAAUGCGCUUCACAAAUAGGAAAUUUCCACACUACUGGUCCGUUUGGGCCUUGCCGCGUACCCAGAGACUUUCCAUUUCCAUGCCAAAUCAUAUCACAGCAUAAUCUUUUUGAAGACAUUUCAAGUGGCAAUUAAAAUCAACACGUGAUGUACUGGCACUGUACAUAACUCAGUUGCAGUGACAACAAUGUGAACGGCUGGGAUCAGAUUUGCUCGAGCACAGAAUGAAACUGUAUCGUCGCUGUUGCCUGACUGGAGACAAGCUGUAAAAUCCAUCCCAAUUUCAUGGGAGUUUAAAAUGAGAAAACCUGUGCGUUUAAAACUUGAUGGUAUAUUAUUAGGAGGAGCUUCAAAAACUGAGGUAAAAGGGAGGACCAUUAAUGCACGUUUGUUGGUAAUUAAACUCCCUUAUUCCCCUUCACAAGUGUGUGGCCCAGAGCACGCAUGGGAUGGGAAAGAUGGAUCUGCCCCACACUCUGUUGGUGACGGUUUCCCCCUGAGUCUCAGAGAGAGGACAUCUUUGCCCUACUGGGGAUGGCUCUAGAGUUCAAGAUACACAGAAAUCCAUAAACUAUACUGGCUUAGAUAGAUGAUGAUGGAUAAAUAGGUAGAUAGAAAUACAGAUGGGUGUAGCUCAAUCUGAUCCCUACAACAAACCCAAGAAAUAACAUCCACUCCAAUUUUGGAGGAAGACUUUCUAAGUGACAGCGUGUAGCUUUCUAACACACUGUCUUCCAAAGGACUUGGACGAGUAACUGAAUUCUGAGAUUUGUCACCUCAGGUGCUCGUCCAAAGUGGAACUGGGAUGUUAAAGGUAGAGAGCGAAAACGAGCCAAUGGAAUGCAAGAGAAGAGAAGAGGGAGAAAACACAGAGGAGAAAAGAAUACUCCCCCAUUGGACCCCUAUAAUGGGAUUCUAGAGGGACUGCAAGGGAUUCAAUGGAAAAAGUCUUCCUUUUGUUCGACCCCAGACUUCCCUUUUCUUUAAGACAAGUCACACGUGUAAUUGUUUUCUUUGGCACCUGUGUGCCUUUGACAAUUAAUAUUAGGUUGUCAGGAAAGUCAUGAUAUGUUUUUACAUUGAAAAAUACCUCAUGAUUUUCCCGACAACCUAAUAGAUGUUGUGAGUUUCCACAGCAAGAUAACGCUUAUUGAAUGGCCACUAAACUUCACCGAGAUUUAAGUGUUACUGAACCAAAGCAUUUGGGCUGAGUCUAGCCACUCACCACACAAAAAAGCCAGUCUCUGAAAUGAGAGUUCACAGAGAGGACAGCUUGAGUCCAUCAAUGUCAGCUGAGAAACAGGGCUCAGACCAGACUCCCUGGAUGAGCAGAGUCUGGAGACUUUAAGGAGGGGGAGGGAUGUGGCUAUGUGAUGGUAUGUAAGUGAAAGGUCAAGGGGCAAACAGGUGACUUCAUUAAGACAUCAAUCUUGGGGCCAGCAGGUGACGUGGUGGUUAAGGGCACUGGACUCCCACA